GUCGGUCUUCAGCUCGUCUGUCAUAGCUCAGUUUCACCAGGGUGACUGUGUAGUCUUCUUGUUCCUGUGAAUAGAAAGUUUUGACAUACUUCAGUAUUGCUUGUAAUAAUGUAGCAAAAUGCCAUUCAAUUCAUAAACAUUUUCUAAGCAGAUGGCCACUGGAAGUGUAACGGGAAGUUUCGUGAGCCUAUCCAGCCCUUCUGUUGGCUAUAGAUCUCGUGAUCUUGAGAAUUAUGGGCAAGAUAGCAAACCAUUUUGGCCCAUACAUUUUGGCCAAUUUACUUUCAAAAUCUCAUUUUGGCUUUCUAGCAUCCUGAGUGAAUUGUGGGUGAUGGGAGCAGUGAAAGUAUUGUGUCAGAAGGCUUUAUACACUUCCUUUACAAUUUGAUCUGAAAACUGAGGGCCCUUGUCACUGUUGAAGGAUAAAGUUGCCUAAACCUGGGAAUGAAGCUCUUCAAAAGUCUUUGAUUAAUGGUGACUGUGUAAGCCUUUGCUCAUUGCUGAGUUUCUUUCUGUUCUACACACAUACAUGAAUUACCAAGGCAUAAUCAAAUGAACAACAUUUCUUUGCCUAGGUAGAAAUAAUCUAAAUAUAUACAAAUGUCCUCGAGGUGGAGGAUGAGCUGCUCGUAUUUAUGGGCAAGUUGGCAUUACUGUUCAUUCAUUCAAGGAAUAUUUAUUGAGCACUUGCUGUAUACCAGGCUCUGUUCUAGGUGCUGGGAAUAAAGUGGCGACUAAAGAAGGUGAAAAUUCCUUCUUUCAUGGAGCUCGCAUUCUAAUGGGAAGACAGAAAAACAACAAGGAAGAGAAGUAAAGGGCCGGCUCCAUGGCUGAGUCAUUAGGUUCGUGCACUCCGCUGAGGUGGCCCAGGGUUCAGAUCCUGGGCACGGACAUGGCACCACUCGUCAGGCCACAUUGAGGCGGUGUCCCACAUCCCACAACUAGAAGGACCUGCAACUAAGGACUGAACAUAUAAGUCAGAUUUCUCACCGUUGGAGAAGAAAGUACAAAUAUAGAAAGAAGAAAGGCUAAAAUGAACCUUGUGGAAUUGGAUUAGAAUGGGAAAUAUUAAUAUGAAUUCAUGUGGAGAAAUUUGUGAUCAAAGUUAACAUCAUCAGUAAAAAGACAACAGAUAUCAUAUGUCUUCUGAUAUGAUGCACUGAGAAGAACACAACAUCACUUAUCUGAUAUUCCUGCCUAAAAAAUGCAUAAACUUAGUUAAUUAUGAGAAAACAUCAAACAAACUCAAAUUAAAGGAUAUUCCACAAAGUAACUGGAUUGUACUCUUCAAAAAUGUCAAGAUCAUAAAGGAUAAGGAAAGACUGAGGAAUUGUUCUGGAAUAAAGACCCGAGACAUGACAACUGAAUGUUAUGCAUGGUCCUAGAUUUUCUUUGCUUAUAAUGAAUAUUAUUAGGACAGUUGGAAAAUUUAAAUAUAGCCAUUUAGCAUCAUAUCAGUAUUAAUUUCUUGAUUAUGAUACUGAUUGUGGUUAUGGAAGAGAAUGUCCUUGUUUUUAGUAAACAUACACUAAAGUAUUUAGGGAUAGAUAGAUAAAGCAAAUGUGAUAAAAUGCUAAUAUUUGAGGAAUCUAAGUGAAAGUUAUAUGAGAUUCCUUGUACCAUUCUUGCAACUUUUCUGUAAAUCUGAAAUUAUUUCAAAAUAAAAACUGAAAAAAUCACAAUGUUAUUUAGAUUACUAGUAACUAGAUGGUAUUAGAGAAGAGUGUUAUAAUAGUUUCAUUUUAAAAGGUCAGUGUUUAUAAUACUCAAGAAAUCAAAUCCUUUGCAACUGUUUAACUUACAAUGAAAAUUUUAGAUAACUUAAAAAUGUGUGACAAUUUUUAGGAUAGUGAAACUAUUCUGUAUACUAUAAUGGUGGAAACAUGUCAGUUCGCAUUUGUCAAAACCCAUAGACAGUGUAACAGCAGGCAUGAACUCUAAUGUAAACUAUGAGCUUUGGGUGAUAAAGAUGUGUCAGCAUAGAUUCAUCAAUUGUAACAAAUGUGCCACUCUGGUGGGGAUGUUCAUAGCGAGGGAGGUUGUACAAGUGUAGGGGGAGGGAGUAUAUGGGAACUCUGUACUUUCUAUUUGGUUUUGCUGUGAACCUAAAGCUACUCUAAAAAAUAAAGUCUAGGGGCCGGCCCAGUGGUGCAGCGGUUAAGUUUGCACGUUUUGCUUCUCUGUGGCCCAGGGUUUGCCAGUUUGGAUCCCGGGUGCAGACACGGCACCGCUUGGCAAAAGUCAUGCUGUGGUAGCAUCCCACGUAUAAAGUAGAGGAAGAUGGCAUGGAUGUUAGCUCAGGGUCAGCCUUCCUCAGCAAAAAAAUAGAGGAGGAUUGGCAGUAGUUAGCUCAGGGCUAAUCUUCCUCAAAAAUUAAAAAUAAAGUCUAUUUAAAAAAAAAUGUGUGAGAGAAUGCAUACUUUUUCCAAGUCUUUUAGAGGUAAGUGAGCAAAAUAAUUUGAGAUAAUUUCCUUAGAGGCUUUAUGCACAUAUUCACCAGAAUAUUUGUAUAAAACCAACAUAGCAGCAUUUUUAUAAUAACCUCAACAACUCUAUUGUCCUAUAACAGCAGAAGAGAUAAAUAUAUUGUAACAUAUUCACGGGAUGGAAAAUUAUUCAGCUAUGCAAAUGAAUGAACUACAACACCACAAAUGAAUCUUACAAAUCAAAUGCAUGAAGCAAGAUGCAAAUAAUUCCAUUUAUAAAGUUGAAAAAGCCAGCCAAACUAAACUGUUGUUUAGAGACAUAUACAUAUGUGGUAAAACUAAAAGGAAAACAAGCAAAUAAUUAACAUAAAAUUCAGGAUCGUGGUUAUGUCUAGGGAUAGAAAGAGGCGUGUAUUCUGGAAAGAAGUCUUGUAUGGGUGAGGGGCUGCCUUUAGGGUGCUGGUUAAGCUCUAUUUUUUAAUCUGGGUGGUAGUUAAAUGGAUGUUCACAUUAGAAUUAGUCAUUGUACUUUACAUUUAUAUUUUAUGCACUUUUAUGUGUGUGUUAUAUUUCACAAUAAAAGAAUUAUUUUUUUUCCUUUUUCUCCCAAAGCCCCCCGGUACAUAGCUGUAUAUUUUCAGUUGUGGGUCCUUCUAGUUGUGGCAUGUGGGACACCACCUCAGCAUGGCUUGAUGAGCGGCGCCAUGUCUGUGCCCAGGAUUUGAACGGGCAAAACCCUGGGCCACUGAAGCAUAGAGUGCCAACUUAACCACUA
ensembl:lncRNA